CAGCCGCCGCGGUAAUACGUAGGUGGCGAGCGUUGUCCGGAAUUAUUGGACGUAAAGGGAGCGCAGGCGGACAUAUAAGUCCAUCUUAAAAGUGCGGGGCUCAACCCCGUGAGGGGAUGGAAACUGUAUGCCUUGAGUGCAGGAGAGGAAAGCGGAAUUCCCAGUGUAGCGGUGAAAUGCGUAGAUAUUAGGAAGAACACCAGUGGCGAAGGCGACUUUCUGGACGAAAACUGACGCUGAGGCGCGAAAGCCAGGGGAGCGAACGGGAUUAGAUACCCGAGUAGUCCCUGUCUCUUAUACC
rnacentral:rRNA from 1 species